rnacentral:rRNA from 1 species
UACGGAGGAUGCAAGCGUUAUCCGGAUUUAUUAAGUUUAAAGGGUGCGUAGGUGGGCGUUUAAGUCAGUGGUUAAAGCCAUUAGCUUAACUAAUGUAUGCCAUUGAUACUGGAUGUCUUGAAUGUGGUAGAGGUAGGCGGAAUGUGUUGUGUAGCGGUGAAAUGCUUAGAUAUAACACAGAACACCGAUUGCGAAGGCAGCUUACUAAUCCAUCAUUGACGCUGAGGCACGAAAGCGUGGGGAUCAAACAGGAUUAGA